rnacentral:rRNA from 1 species
UACGUAGGGGCCUAGCGUUGUCCGGAUUUAUUGGGGCGUAAAGAGCUCGUAGGCGGUUCGGUAAGUCAGGUGUGAAAUCUCCACGCUCAACGUGGAGGCGCCACCUGAAACUGCCGUGACUCGAGUCGGUAGGGGAGUGUGGAAUUCCCGGUGUGAGCGGUGAAAGUGCGCAGAUAUCAGGAAGAACACCCGUGGCGAAGGCGGCUCUCUGGUACGUGACUGACGCUGAGACGCGAAAGCGUGGGGAGCAAAC